GUAGGGAAUAUUGGACAAUGGGGGGAACCCUGAUCCAGCCAUGCCGCGUGGAGGAAGACUGCCCUCUGGGUUGUAAACUCCUUUUAUAUGGGAAGAACCGUCCUCAUUAAUGAGUGACCUGACGGUACCAUAGGAAUAAGCACCGGCUAACUCCGUGCCAGCAGCCGCGGUAAUACGGAGGGUGCAAGCGUUAUCCGGAUUCACUGGGUUUAAAGGGUGCGUAGGCGGAUAAAUAAGUCAGUGGUGAAAUCAACGGGAUCAACCUGUUAACUGCCAUUGAUACUGUGUAUCUUGAAUAUGAGAGAGGUAGGCGGAAUGUUGCAUGUAGCUGUGAAAUGCUUAGAUAUGCUACGGAACACCGAUUGCGAAGGCAGCUUACUAUUUCGUAAUUGACGCUGAGGCACGAAAGCGUGGGUAGCGAACAGGAUUAGAAACCCCGGUAGUCC
rnacentral:rRNA from 1 species